GUGCAUGCAUGAGUUUUCCAAGGGAAUCCCAAGUCAGAAAGGCUACGUUGCAGGAAGUCCAAUGUAUGUGCUGCAGGUCCUAGACAAGACAUUACUGAUUUCACCAAAGUCUGCCUGGAAUCAGCUGUGACAACGAAGGGUUAUCUCUUUAUGGCAAGUGAAGAAAGGGGCUGAUUUUAGUUUUUGGAGCCCAAGGCAACACAAAGCUGAAUGGUUUUCUGCAAGUCACCACCGGACAGGAGAGACAGGACUGAUGACAAUGUAAACAUUUGGAAUUAGGACAACGUACAAGAUUAGGGCUGACCAGCCCCUGGACUACGCCAUAUGUGCAUAUACAGGCUCCUAGGAUGAACAUCCUCGAAUCCUAACCUCUCUCCCAGAAGCUGGGCCUCCCACCAGUGCCCGGCUCUUCUCUCAGCAAAACCGCAUUUGCCAAGACUACUCUCAACUGAAUCCCAGCUCAGAGAGGCAGCUGCUGGGUCUCAGACAUCAGCGUCCAGGGUAUCUCAGGACUCUUGGCUCUCCACUAAUGAAAAACGGUAUCUCUCAUAUGGCUUAAUGUGAUCCGUUCUCAACAGACUCUUUUUUCAGUCAGUCUUUGGCACCCUACGGAGAUGGUCAUCCUUUGUCCCC